rnacentral:rRNA from 1 species
UACGGAGGGAGCUAGCGUUGUUCGGAAUUACUGGGCGUAAAGCGCACGUAGGCGGCUUUGUAAGUUAGAGGUGAAAGCCCGGGGCUCAACCCCGGAAUUGCCUUUAAGACUGCAUCGCUUGAAUCCAGGAGAGGUGAGUGGAAUUCCGAGUGUAGAGGUGAAAUUCGUAGAUAUUCGGAAGAACACCAGUGGCGAAGGCGACUCACUGGACAGGUAUUGACGCUGAGGUGCGAAAGCGUGGGGAGCAAACAGG